CAGCAGCCGCGGUAAUACGUAGGUCCCGAGCGUUGUCCGGAUUUAUUGGGCGUAAAGCGAGCGCAGGCGGUUAGAUAAGUCUGAAGUUAAAGGCUGUGGCUUAACCAUAGUACGCUUUGGAAACUGUUUAACUUGAGUGCAAGAGGGGAGAGUGGAAUUCCAUGUGUAGCGGUGAAAUGCGUAGAUAUAUGGAGGAACACCGGUGGCGAAAGCGGCUCUCUGGCUUGUAACUGACGCUGAGGCUCGAAAGCGUGGGGAGCAAACAGGAUUAGAUACCCCGGUAGUCCCUGUCUCUUAUACA
rnacentral:rRNA from 1 species